CCUACGGGUGGCAGCAGUGAGGAAUAUUGGUCAAUGGGCGGGAGCCUGAACCAGCCAAGUCGCGUGAGGGAAGACGGUCCUAUGGAUUGUAAACCUCUUUAGGCGGGGAGCAAUGCCGGGCACGCGUGCCCGGAGGGAGAGUACCCGCAGAAUAAGCAUCGGCUAACUCCGUGCCAGCAGCCGCGGUAAUACGGAGACUGCGAGCGUUAUCCGGAUUUAUUGGGUUUAAAGGGUGCGUAGGCGGAUUGUUAAGUCAGCGGUAAAAUGUCCGGGCUCAACCCGGGCCGGCCGUUGAAACUGGUGAUCUUGAGUGGGCGAGAAGUAUGCGGAAUGCGUGGUGUAGCGGUGAAAUGCAUAGAUAUCACGCAGAACUCCGAUUGCGAAGGCAGCUUACUAAACUGCAACUGACAUUGAUGCUCGAAAGUGUGGGUAUCAAACAGGAUUAGAUACCCCAGUAGUC
rnacentral:rRNA from 1 species